GCUAGCAGCCAUAUUACCCUGCAACUCACACCUGGCAACCCACUGAAGCUAAGAAGGUGUGAGCCUGGUCAGUACCUGGAUGGGAGACCUCCUGGGGAAAACUAAGGUUGCUGCUGGAA
rnacentral:rRNA from 1 species